rnacentral:rRNA from 1 species
UACAGAGGGUGCGAGCGUUGUCCGGAAUCACUGGGCGUAAAGGGCGCGUAGGUGGUGACCUAAGCGUGCGGUGAAAGCCCGAGGCUCAACCUCGGGUCGGCCGUGCGAACUGGGUCACUGGAGCAGAAUAGAGGCAGGUGGAAUUCCGGGUGUAGCGGUGGAAUGCGUAGAGAUCCGGAAGAACACCGGUGGCGAAGGCGGCCUGCUGGGUUCUGGCUGACACUGAGGCGCGGCAGCGUGGGGAGCAAACAGG